UCUUUAAUAGUAACAUCUUUUCCUUAAAUAAAAAUCUCACUCACACCAUCAUGUCUUUCAGUUUACAUUCACUUAUAUAUCAUUACUAUGCUUUGAUAUAAUAGAGUAUAAUUAAUAAUAUAUCAGACGUUUUUGUAAAAGCAUACCAGUGUACAAAGGAUGCAAAUAAAAAAACCAUCAUGUUCCCACUGAUGGGCAUUCUUCUUUAAAACAGUUUAUGUCAGUGUUUCUCAAUCUAUGAUCACAUAAAAGAUACCCCACAUAUCAGAUACUUAUAUUGUGAUUCAUAACCAUCACAUAAUUAUAGUUACGAUGUAGCAACAAAUAAUUUUAGUUGGGGAUCACCACAACAUGAGAACCUAUGUUAAUGGGUCACAGUGUUAGCAAGGUUGAGAAUCAUUGAUCUAUGUAAUUUAAUGGCAUUCUGUUACAACUUUAAACAUUUUUAUAUUGCUAGUUUUAGGUUGCCUGUUAUUAGCUUUCCUAAUUUAGUAUAGGAUAGUUUUUCUCAUUGUUGACUGUGUGGUGGUAGCAGAUGUUAAGAUAAUUUUUCAAGUGUAAUAGACUUUACAGAAUUGUUUUGUUUAAAGGGAUAGACUAAAUUACUACACGUUUUUAUUAAUUUAUUCAUUCAGUUUACAUCCUGGUCAUAGCCUCCACUCCCUCCUCUCCUCUGAGUCUGACCCUCAUAAGUCCCUUCCCCAAAACCCCUUUUCUUCUCCUCAGAAGUUAAAUCAUAGUUGGAUUGAAAGCAUCCUUUCCUAUUCUGGUCCAACAGGAUGUUCAGCAAGGGUGAAGGGAUCCAAUGGCAGGGAACAAAGACAAAGACAGCCCUCUUGCUCCAGUUGUUACGAAACCCAAUAGGAUGGGAAAUUGGAAGUAUAUUUGUAUUGUUUUGUUUGUUUGUUUGUUUGUUUUUGUUUUUGUUUUGUUUUGUUUUGUUUUGUUUGAGACAGGGUUUCUCUGUAUAGCCCUGGCUGUCCUGGAGACUCUGACAGACUCUGUAGACCAAGCUGGCCUCAAACUCAGAAAUCUUCCUGCCUCUGCCUCCCAAGUGCUGGGAUUAAAGGCUUGUGCCACCACGCCCGGCUUUGUGUUGAUUUUGUUAACAGGUAUUAAUAGCUAAUGCAGUCUUUCCCUUCAAAUAUUGGGUUGUUAAAAUUGGAUUAGAGAAUAGGAUGAAGGGUAUUACAGUAGUUUUGAUACUGAGAGAAAGCUCCCCAAACUGAGAUAUUUAUGAAUACAUAAAAGCUUAUUUAUUAUAGUACUGAAGUCUGAGAAGUGUCAGCUUAAGGUACCAACAUUGGUAUCAUCUGAGUUCUGCCCUUCCAAGGUUGUGUCUUGUUGCUUUCCCCUUAUUAACAUAAAAGAACAGGGAGAAGGAUGGUCCCUACUGUUUGCCUCUGGUCUGGCUUUACAGGCACAAGAUACUUACUGAAAAUCUCAGCC
rnacentral:lncRNA from 1 species